rnacentral:rRNA from 1 species
GUAGGGAGCAAGCGUUAUCCGGAUUUACUGGGUGUAAAGGGCGCGCAGGCGGGAAGACAAGUUGGGAGUGAAAUCCGGGGGCUCAACCCCCGAACUGCUUUCAAAACUGUUUUUCUUGAGUGAUGGAGAGGCAGGCGGAAUUCCCAGUGUAGCGGUGAAAUGCGUAGAUAUUGGGAGGAACACCAGUGGCGAAGGCGGCCUGCUGGACAUUAACUGACGCUGAGGCGCGAAAGCGUGGGGAGCAAACAGGAUUAGAUACCCUGGUAGUCCACGCCGUAAACGAUGGAUACUAGGUGUGGGAGGUAUUGACCCCCCUUCCGUGCCGGCGUUAACACAAUAAGUAUCCCACCUGGGGAGUACGAUCGCAAGGUUG